rnacentral:lncRNA from 1 species
AGAAAGGAAAAAGAUGGCAGUUUGGGUCCAGCAGGGCUCAGAUCCACGGGCUUUUCAAUCCUAGAGGUGAAGGAAGAAGGAGCCAGCUCUGUGACCACGAAUUUCCACCCAAUUUUAUUGAUUCUCAAGGUAAGAGCUUUCAUUACAUCCCUAUUGCCCUCACUCAGACAGGGCUGUUCGGUGAGGGUUUUGCAAGAGACACAAUCUUAGGAGACUACAUUCUCUAGGAGAAAAUUCUGGAAUCCUUUAGAGGAGAUCGGUCUUUCUGGAGGCUUUGGGAUUAGCCAGAAACGGUAUCACUUUCCCCUAAAUGAGACCCUCCGAAGUAUGAAUAUGACAACAGUAUGCCUUGAAUUUGUAAUUAGGCAACUGUGUACUUCCUAAAACAACAUGCAUCUAUCCAAUCCUACUCUUUGUAGAGCUUCAUUGUUUUUUUAACUGAAGAACAUUUCUUUUUGUACAAAUGCCAAAGUACUAGCACUGGUCUCUCGUAAAACACACUAGCCAAGAGCCAAGUUGCUCAUCAACUUCUUGGUAGUUUCAGGCAACUUCAAACUGUUACGCAUGAGAGUGAGGAGCAGAGAUUGGGAAUGAAGUACAGAUGGGGCAUUGAUGAGAGUUCUAGGAAGAGAAGGUAUUGACAGAAUAGGAGAGCUUGAGAGGAGGGCUUUGACUGAGAAAUGCACUUGAGGUCGCUCUGUGGUUGCAGGUUGACCUGAUAAAGCUAAUGUUGUUCUCAACUUCUUGAUAUUUCAAAGCUUUAAAGGCCCCACUGUUAAAGUAGGUGGGGGUCAUGUAGAUAGAGACUGAAAGAGGAGAAACAAAGCUUUGCCUCUCAUUCUGAGUUCCCUUAGUCACUCCUGUCCCACCUGGCACAGGUAUUCUGAUGCCCCAUUGAAGACCGUGAUGUAGGCAAAGUUUCUGCCCCCGAGGCUGCCCAUCCCUGGUGAGGAACCUGGCAUGGUUGCUCUCAGAGCUCUCUGCACACAGAUGCUUGGAGGCUCUUUCCUUUCAGACAGGUGAAAUUUCGUUAUGAUGCUACUUACAAUACAAGCAUCGAGCAUGAAAGUUUAAAUUCUUUUUCUUUGUGC